AUUGAACGCUGGCGGCAGGCCUAACACAUGCAAGUCGAGCGGCAGCGGGAAAGUAGCUUGCUACUUUUGCCGGCGAGCGGCGGACGGGUGAGUAAUGCCUGGGGAUCUGCCCAGUCGAGAGGGAUAACCACUGGAAACGGUAGCUAAUACCGCAUACGCCCUACGGGGGAAAGCAGGGGACCUUCGGGCCUUGCGCGAUUGGAUGAACCCAGGUGGGAUUAGCUAGUUGGUGAGGUAAUGGCUCACCAAGGCGACGAUCCCUAGCUGGUCUGAGAGGAUGAUCAGCCACACUGGAACUGAGACACGGUCCAGACUCCUACGGGAGGCAGCAGUGGGGAAUAUUGCACAAUGGGGAAACCCUGAUGCAGCCAUGCCGCGUGUGUGAAGAAGGCCUUCGGGUUGUAAAGCACUUUCAGCGAGGAGGAAAGGUUGGUAGCUAAUAACUGCCAGCUGUGACGUUACUCGCAGAAGAAGCACCGGCUAACUCCGUGCCAGCCGCCGCGGUAA
rnacentral:rRNA from 1 species